rnacentral:tRNA from 1 species
CCUUCGAUAGCUCAGUUGGAAGAGCGUGGGACUGUAAUGGUUACAAGUCCAUCCCGAGGUCGCUGGUUCGAACCCGGCUCGAAGGA